UGUCUGGGCUCGCCUUGUAACUUUGACCAGUAGGAUGUGGCAGAAGUGAGCCCUUGAGAGCCUUGUCCUCCAGUCUGAGGUUCUAACUUCACCCUCUUGAACCAAGAGAGACCCGGCAAGGAGGACAGAGAAAGAGAGAGGCCACAUGGAAGAGGACAGAGAAGCCAGCUGGCACUACUGCCAAGCCACUGGUGAACUUUCCCUUCAUGAUCUCACUCAGCCACCUGACUCUGCUGGGCAGCAGAUCCCAUCUUAACCGUCACACGCUGCGCCUGAUGGCUGCUGUUCUGCAGGAUCACAGAUGCUGCUCACUGCUAACAGAAAGCCGUUUGGAUUCCCAUGUUUUAUAUAAUGGACUAGGUACGUGGCACUUGGAAUUAGGUACAGGAAAUCUCUAUUUGAGCAAACCAGAUCCUGCACCUUUGCAACAAGCCCCAGCGAUGUGAGCGAAGACCUGGGGAAUAAGCUCAGGCACAGGUGUCUUGAAUGCUGGAGGAGGGAUGAGCAGGUCACACACUGUUUUCCUCUCUGUCAUGUUCUCAGACUUAGGUACUAAGUGUUUCAUCUUGGAAUGCCAAGUGACAGCGAUUUGAUUAGACCAAACCAUUUAUUAAGUAAAGUCGUAAAAUAGAACUGUG